CUCACCCUUGUCUACUUAUUGGUGAUACCCCAUUUCUUGAUCCAAUGUUUGUAUGACCAAACAAAUAACAGUAACAAAGUCUUCUAUAUAUAUUAGAGUGAAUUUCUUCUUGUAAAUCCACCCACAUUAUUUCUGCUUGUCAGCCUCAGCCGGGAGAGAAAAUGAAAGUGGUGGCCGUUCUCUUCAUUGCUUUACUUACUUCCUUAUGCUUGGCAGCUCCUCGGAGAGCUCUUGUCAACAGUGGGGAAAACAAUGGCAGAAAGGUAUCUGUGGCAGAGAACUCAAAUAAAGAAAGAACCAGCACGGCCGGCCAUCCAGAUGGCACCCUAGACAACCAUCAUAACAUACCUAGACAGUAUUAUAAUCAGUGGGGUAGCAAUUCUGGUGGAGACGGAGACGACGGUGACAACAAUGGUAAUGGAACUGGUUGAAUGAGACCUAUGAUGAUGUAUAAUGUAUGCGUCUUUCUUGUUUCGUGUCAAGACAAUAAUACGAUGUUUGAGUUUGAAAAUUUGUGUAAUACUAAACGAACGUAUGAUGCUUGGACAUUUUUGAGUUUUCUGCACUUGGACUUUCUCUGAUACACGUUUGGCCUUUGUAUUUGUA